AUUUUGUGCAUCCUUGGCACAAGCAAACUCAUGCUUGUAUUGAUAAGUGUCAAACCAGAUUGAUGUGUGGUGGGGAGCCAGCAAUCCAGAAUAUGGAGUGGAGUUUGUUGUCGAACAGGUUGCCAGCUGCCAAUUUGUCAUGAGGAGCAGCUAUCUAGGAGCGGGGAGUGGAGCUGAGAAUUUGAUGGAGUGGAGUGAAU
rnacentral:lncRNA from 1 species